rnacentral:rRNA from 1 species
CCGUUGUACACACCCGCCCAUCACACCACGAAAGUCCGGCAAUACCCGAAGCCGGUGAGCUAACCCCUCGGGGAGGCAGCCGUCGAAGGUAGGGUUGAUGAUUGGGGUG